rnacentral:other from 1 species
UGUCCCCUGCGGUGUCCGUCAGACCUGUAAUUCUUUGAGCCAAUAGUUUAGCUUAGGUCGCGACCCGCAAGGCCGCUGUUGUGAACGUCCAUCCGGAUGAUCCUGAUGCGGCAGGGAAGUGACCCUCUUGGACCGCAGGUUCAAGAUGCCGGGUCAACGGCACAGGUGGGGGACUU